CUCAUUAAAUCAGUUAUCGUUUAUUUGAUAGUACCUAACCUACAUGGAUAACCGUGGUAAUUCUAGAGCUAAUACAUGCUAAAAACCUCGACUUCGGAAGGGGUGUAUUUAUUAGAUAAAAAACCAAUGCCCUUCGGGGCUCCUUGGUGAUUCAUAAUAACUCAACGAAUCGCAUGGCCUUGCGCCGGCGAUGGUUCAUCCAAAUUUCUGCCCUAUCAACUUUCGAUGGUAGGAUAGUGGCCUACCAUGGUGUUUACGGGUAACGGGGAAUUAGGGUUCUAUUCCGGAGAGGGAGCCUGAGAAACGGCUACCACAUCCAAGGAAGGCAGCAGGCGCGCAAAUUACCCAAUCCCGACACGGGGAGGUAGUGACAAUAAAUACUGAUACAGGGCCCUUUCGGGUCUUGUAAUUGGAAUGAGUACAAUUUAAAUCCCUUAACGAGGAACAAUUGGAGGGCAAGUCUGGUGCCAGCAGCCGCGGUAAUUCCAGCUCCAAUAGCGUAUAUUAAAGUUGUUGCAGAUAAAAAGCUCGUAGUUGAACCUUGGGCCUGGCUGGCCGGUCCGCCUCACCGCGUGCACUGGUCCGGCCGGGCCUUUCCUUCUGGGGAUCCACAUGCCCUUCACUGGGUGUGCCGGGGAACCAGGACUUUUACUUUGAAAAAAUUAGAGUGUUCAAAGCAGGCCUAUGCUCGAAUACAUUAGCAUGGAAUAAUAGAAUAGGACGUGUGGUUCUAUUUUGUUGGUUUCUAGGACCGCCGUAAUGAUUAAUAGGG
rnacentral:rRNA from 1 species